rnacentral:misc_RNA from 1 species
UUAAUUUAAUUAUGGAUCUGGUUUGAUUUUAUUCUUUGAUUCAAUCUCUUGUGAUCUUAAUGCAUGUUACGUGUUGGUACCCACUUAGUAUUGAUUACAGAUAUUAAUUGAAGGACUGAAAGGUGAAGGUUAAUAUUAGAAAAUCGGGAUUUUAAACCUAGAAAAUCGGGAUUUUAAACCUAGGAAAUCUGACCUAGAAUAGGUUGAUAACCUUUGUGGAGUUCCAAAAUUAAUCAAAGAUCUUAAAGGGUUUUAAUUAAUUUAAUCGCCUCGAAAGUAAGGUUGAGGUUAAUUAAAAUACACCUUAAGUGCCUUGAGAGAGGACUUAAAAUAACUAAUGAUUAAUUUCCAUCAAAGUAAUAAUCUCCCAAUUAUUGAAUGAAUUAGAUUGAUUUUAUAAUUGAUUGAAGUGUGAACCCCUAGCUCUAAAAUGUUCUCAUCCAUUACUAUUUUAGUUUAGAUAACCGUUUUUCUUUUAGCUAAGAUAUAAUUAUUAUUUCACUAUAAUUCGAUCGUCUGGAUAAUUAAAAUCACUAUAAUUCGGUACUCAACACGGUCCUCGUGGGAACGAUAGUCUACUUAUCACUUUAUUACUUGUUAGCGAUCCAUGCACUUGCGGUGAUUGAAAAACCAGCAAACAAAUUUUUGGCGCCAUUGCUGGGGACCGGUGCUUGAUAUUGAAUGAUUAGUGAUUUGAUUACUCUAGACAUUCUUAUUUCUUUUAUAGUUUAUUUCUUAUCUAAUUUUAUUUUUACUUAUUUUUCUUGUGAGGACCAUUAAGAUGUUUCACCAACAAGUCUUUACAAGCUUUAUUCAACAACACAAUGAACCUUUUCACGAUGCUUGGAGAAGAUUUAAUGAAUUGGUAGAGCAAUUUGCCAAUCAUAAUAUUUCAAAUUAUGAACUCACUCUCAAUUUCUAUAAUGGUUUGAAUGAAGCAACAAGGAAUUGGGUAGAUUAUGGAGCUUGGACUACUGGUGAUCAUGUUCUUUAAAGAGACCAUGAGGAUGCCAUUCUCUUGUUGAAUGACAUGGCAGAUUUUCAUUACCAUUGGCAUUGGGAUCCUUCACUGCAGGGUUGGAGUCACCAAUACCCUCCAGACAUCUAUCAACAAAUUAUUUCAUACCAACCAUUUGAGCUAUAAUUAGAGAGGAGAGUGGGACUUGAAGAGGUGAUAGUUCCAUUCGAAAAUUUUGACAAACUAAUGGUGAACAAUGAGCUAUCACUUUAUGAAGAGGAAUUAUAUGAACAAAGUUGGGAGAAUGAAGAAGCUUCAUGGGAAUUUGAACCUAAAGAAGAAGUUGAGCUUCAAGAACAAAAUUCAUUUGAAGAUGACUUACCAGUAGAAUUCCCACAAGAACAGGAGUUACUUAAAGAACAAGUGGAACCUAGAGCUGAAGGAAACAACUCCUUUAUACUUGGGGGAUCAUUGGAAGAGUGCUUCCAUGAAGACAAAUUAGAGAUAAAGGUGGUGGAUGAAGAAAUUGAUGAGACUAUGAAUUUAAGUUCAUUAAUGAUGUUUACACAUACACCACCAGAAGACCCUUUUCUAUCAUGGACACCUCCUACAUCAUCACAUGUCCUCCAUGAGCUAAAGCAGUCCUCUUCCCAAGCAGAUAACUCGAAACCAUGUGUUAUUCAUGCUAUGUGCAAUCUUAUUCUAAAUCUUGUCAAUCUUGAGGGUACCACAAAUCAAGACCCAUAUGUGGUGUUACAUGACAACUAAUAUGGGCGAAAACCACUUUUUGAUCAGCAAUUCUAAAAGGGGUCAAGCUAAUGACCUUAAAUUAGCUCUUCUUGGGAGGCAACCCAAGUUUUAAAUUUAAUCUUUGCAUUUUUUUUUAUUUAUUUCUUUUGUUUAUCACUCUCCCAAACUUAAUUUCGAUAUUUGUCCACUUUGUAGGUUCAAGAAGCACUUGAGAGAAGCAAUGGAGAUCAAACUCAUAAAUCUUCAAGGGAAGGCACGCUUCAAGGGGGAGUAUUCUAUAUCCAUUAGCUUUUCCUUGUUAUUAUAUUUAUGAUGUUGCUCUUGACUUGUUUAUGAUAUCUUGAUGACAUUGAGGACAAUGUCAAAUUUGAGUUUGGGGGUGCAUUUCAUGCAUUGCAUUCAUAUAUUGCAUUUCAUCACCUUAUUGUGUCUAUAUUAUAUUUGAGUGCCAAAAAUCCAAAAAAAUUUUAUAAAUUUUGAAAUUUCUGGACUUUUUUAAAAAGUUUUUAACUUAGAAUUAUAACUAAAACCUUGAUGAGCUAAUGAUUGGACUCUCUGAGAAAGAUGAAUAAAUGUAACUGAAUGGGGCAAAAAGGCUUCAAUAUGUUGUUUGUGAAGAACUUAAUCACCUAAGUGGAGUUAAACUAGUUAAAUCCCUUCAUAGCCAUUAAUUUAUCACACUGAACUUGUAAAAUUAGGAAAAAAUUUUUGAAAUACAAGCAAACCUAAAAAUGUCUCACCAACUCUAGAACAUGUCUCUUGGAUCUAUCAAGGCGAAAUCCUAGUAGAUGCUUGAUGAAGAGAUGAUUAAGGCAUUCUUUAAUAUAACCUCUCUAAGCCUUAGCCACUCCUAAUUAAAAUAUAUAUCUCUUGCAGCCAACUUGAAGCCUAUAUUUAUCCCUUAGAAUUUAUUGCUUAUCCAUAUUAUUUACUGCUUAUCCAUAUUAUUUACCUAGCCCCUAGCCUAAACACCUACCCUACCCUUUUGAGGAAGCUAAAUGCACAAGUAAAAAAUAUAUUAAGUGCAACAAAAAAAAUUGAGAUAGGAUGUAUAACUUAAGAAAGAGUCCAAGUGUGCAAUUGAAAUUAAAAAAAAAAAAAAUUGCCUUUCCAACCUAGCAAACCCACCCACUGCACCUGCAUCAAUGAAUAAUGUCUUUUCCUAAUCCUGCACUCCCGACAGUUCAAAACUUUUGUGAACAACGAAACACAAUCAAAUUCCUUCAAGACCAAAUGCUAUC